UCUCCGUAGGUGAACCUGCGGAGGGAUCAUUACCAGGGAUGGCGGGCCUCCGUGCCCCCGUCCCCAACCCAUUGUUGACCAAAACCUUUUUGCCUCGGGGGCAGAGCGUCCGCCGCCGCCCCCGGAGGACCACCGAACGCUGUCUCUAUACGUCGGAGUAUUGAUUAAAUGAAUGAAAACUUUCAACAACGGAUCUCUUGGUUCUG
rnacentral:misc_RNA from 1 species